rnacentral:misc_RNA from 1 species
GGGGAACGGUGGCAAUGGCAUUAGGAAGGUACAAGCAGUAGAGAAGCCACAGAACAUUAGAGGCGCUAGACCAGCUCCACUGGAGAUACUAAACCAUGUGAAAAUGAACAACACACUUGAGACUCCUCGCUCCACCAUUAAAGGGUUCCUCAAAGUUCCCCAGAAGACAGAACUGAAAUUCACAAGGGAAAAUCUGAGGAGAGUUGAGGAACAACUCAAGCGUGCUUUCGUUGAGUUUUACCAAAAGCUUCGGCUCCUUAAGAGUUACAGCUUCUUGAAUACAUUAGCAUUUUCGAAAAUCAUGAAGAAGUAUGAUAAGAUUACUUCAAGAGAUGCAUCAAAAGCUUACAUGAAAAUGGUGGACAACUCCUACCUUGGCAGUUCUGAUGAGGUAACCAAAGUCAUGGAAAGGGUUGAAGCUACAUUCAUUAAGCAUUUCUCAAACUCAAAUCGGAGCAAGGGAAUGAGCAUCUUAAGACCAAAAGCGAAAAGAGAAAGACACAGGACAACAUUUUAUAUGGGUUUUUUCUCUGGCUGCACAGCAGCUCUUAUAAUAGCUCUUAUUUUGAUCAUACGUGCCCGCAAUAUCAUGGAUGAGCCAGGGAGAGAAACAUACAUGAAAACCUUGUUUCCCCUUUACAGCUUGUUUGGGUUCAUUGUCCUGCAUUUGAUAAUGUAUGCUACCAAUAUAUUCUUCUGGAGGAGAUACCGAGUGAAUUAUUCCUUCAUAUUUGGUUUCAAACAAGGAAGAGAAAUGGGCUAUCGACAAGUUUUCCUUGUUGGUUUCGGUAUUGCAGUACUAGCACUGAUCUGCGUGCUCUCAAACCUCGACAUGGAGAUGGACCCUAAAACAAAAGCUUAUGAGCAAUUUACUGAACUUCUCCCUCUGAUCCUGGUUAUACUUCUCCUUGUUCUGCUGUUCUUGCCAUUCAAUGUCCUAUACCGUUCAGCUCGCUUCUUCUUACUCAUAUGUCUCUUUCACUGUAUUGCAGCUCCUCUCUAUAAGGUUGUACUCCCUGAUUUUUUCUUGGCAGAUCAACUGACCAGCCAGGUGCAAGCUAUCAGAAGUCUGGAGUUCUAUGUCUGCUAUUAUGGUUGGGGAGACUACAAACAGAGAGAAAACACUUGCAAAACAAGUGGUGUAUACAACACCUUCUAUUUCAUCGUUGCUGUGAUUCCUUACUGGUCUCGUCUUCUUCAGUGCCUUCGGCGUCUGUUUGAAGAGAAAGAUCCAAUGCAAGGAUACAAUGGAUUGAAGUAUUUUGUGACAAUAGUAGCUGUUUCCCUGAGGACAGCUUACAGUCUUAACAAAGGGAUUGCUUGGAAAGUGAUUGCUUGGAUUUUCUCAGUCACAGCAGCAAUCGCAGGUACAUACUGGGAUCUGGUUAUUGAUUGGGGGCUUCUUCAGCGCCAUUCCAAGAACCGUUGGCUGAGAGACAAACUCCUUGUCCCUAACAAAAUUAUAUACUAUGUAGCCAUGGUUUUGAAUGUCUUGCUGAGAUUCGCUUGGUUACAGACUGUCUUGAAUUUCACGUUCUUUUCCUUGCAUAAAGAGACUUCAAUUGCCAUUGUUGCUAGCCUCGAGAUCAUUCGCCGUGGCAUAUGGAAUUUCUUCAGGUUGGAGAAU